rnacentral:lncRNA from 1 species
AGAAAAGCAAAUAAAAAAACCUCUCUCUUAAUAAAGUGCUCUAACCUCUCUCUUACCAAACUAGGUCAAGCCGCCGUCAAGCUUCGUUUCCGGCGGUCGCUGUGCCGGCUAAGGCGACCGCCGGGCCUCCCCUUUUCAUUUGCGUUUCUCUGCUCCUCCCUCUCCGUCGGUCCUCGACGUUCUGCGGCUUCUAAGGCGUGUCCAAGCUUCUCAUCCGGAGUAGAUCUGGAGCGUUCUCUUCACCGGAGCCAGGCCGUGGGUCUUUGCAGCGCUCGAGGACGGCGUUCGCGUCUCACCGGCUCUGUUUCUUCGACUGGAGGAAGGCUCUUUCCAGAUGAGGUUUUCCCAGUUUGGACGUGGCUUGGGUUGAGUUAUGGUGUGUGGCGGUUUGGAGAAGCCCGAGUUGUUCGUCUUGUGCUCCACCGGUUGGUUUCACGGCGGUAGUGUCCGGCGAAUUAGGUUCGGGUUGGGUUUGAGGAUUCACGAUCUCAAGCUCCUUGUCUCUCCCUUCUGCUAGUGAUCUCAGGUGGACGUGUGUGGGUGUGACGGUGUUGGUCUCUCCGACUCCGGCUUUCCCGGUGGCAACGUGCGUGGAUACGGCGGCGCGUGUGGCGGCGCGUGAUGCAGGUCAGAUCUAAACUGUUCUUACCUGCGUUAAGCAGGACCUCCGUUCUUCCGGUGCGUGAACCUGGCCGUGUUUGAGGUGCUGCUAGACUACUUAACUCUUUAAUAAGGUGAGCGGGUUGGGUAAUAGCUCCUUCGGUGUGUGGAACUGGCUCGUUGGCCAUGCGGCAGUUGGACAAUCAAGCCACUCAUUCUUCUGCAGUGUGCUUUCGGAGGGUUAGCAACUUGGAGGUCCGUUUUCUCUAUAUGAGUUCUCGGUUCAAUGGGUGUAAACGGUCACAGCGGGAUAGGCUGGAGACGGCAAUCUUCAGGUCGUCCUUCCGAACGACGGCAUCGUCGCUAGGUGGUUCUCUCUCGUGCCGUCGGAAGUAUAUCUGUCGGGUGUUAUGGGUGUGUCUUUGUGUUUGGAUUCUCUGUCCGUCUCAGGUUUGGGAAGGGUUUUCGGAAGCUGCAGGAGCCGUUGUUUCAAGGUUUGAGGGCGCCUUUCUCUCGGUAGCUCGUGGUGCCCGACUCUCGUCCCCGACCAGGCUCGGUUCUUUGGUCUGAGCCUGUUUCGUUGCUUAGCAGGUUAAUGAGCUUUGUUUAGCUUCUGUUUGGGCUGUUCUUUCCCGUUUCGUUCUGUUGUUUAGUUUAUUUUUGGUUAUCCGCUACUAGUUCACUUUGUAACUUCUGUCACAAAUUUGAAAAUUGGUAUAAUAUUUAACAUUUUACCAAAAAAAAAAAAAAAA